CUUGUUGAUCCUGCCGGACCUGACUGCUAUCGGAUUGGUACUAAGCCAUGCGAGUCGUUGUAGCAAUACAAGGCGAACUGCUCAGUAACACGUAGUUAACCUAACCUAUGGAUGGGGAUAACCUCGGGAAACUGAGAAUAAUACCCAAUAGAUCACAGUGCCUGGAAUGGCCUGUGAUUGAAAUGAUUUAUCGCUGUAGGAUGGGACUGCGGCCUAUCAGCUUGUUGGUGGGGUAAUGGCCCACCAAGGCUAUAACAGGUACGGGCUCUGAGAGGAGGGGCCCGGAGAUGGGUACUGAGACACGGACCCAGGCCCUAUGGGGCGCAGCAGGCGAGAAACCUUUGCAAUGUGCGAAAGCACGACAAGGUUAAUCCGAGUGUCUCCUGCUAAAGGAGUCUUUUGUCAGUUGUAGAAUCACUGGCGAAUAAGGGGUGGGCAAGUUCCGGUGUCAGCCGCCGCGGUAAAACCAGCACCUCGAGUGGUCAGGAGGUUUAUUGGGCCUAAAGCAUCCGUAGCCGGUUGCAUAAGUUUUCGGUUAAAUCUAUGCGCUCAACGUAUAGGCCGC
rnacentral:rRNA from 1 species